rnacentral:rRNA from 1 species
UGGCGAACGGGUGAGUGACACGUGGGUGAUCUGCCUUGCACUUCGGGAUAAGCCUGGGAAACUGGGUCUAAUACCGGAUAGGACCAUGCUUUAGCGUGUGUGGUGGAAAGUUUUUCGGUGCAAGAUGAGCCCGCGGCCUAUCAGCUUGUUGGUGGGGUAAUGGCCUACCAAGGCGACGACGGGUAGCCGGCCUGAGAGGGUGUACGGCCACAUUGGGACUGAGACACGGCCCAG